rnacentral:lncRNA from 1 species
AAGCUGCCCAACUAUGGGGAACUGUCUCCCGGUUCCCAAGCCCACGACAGUUGCAAACCAAACAACUCAUUGGUCCUGGUGAGACUGGUUCACAACCUCCGCCGAAAUCGAGCUCAUCACACCACUGAUGGCCUUUCUUUUUUUCGAAUAUCUACUGCUGCCAAAGUUGUCAGACACAUCCUCUGUCUCAUUUGUCAGUUUCUUAUUGAGCGUCUCCUGAUCCAAUAGCAUCAGAGUCUCACUAGUUGGUUUCACCGGCAGGUUGUGGUACACUUGUUCUCUUCCACCACGGCCACCCCCGCCUCCAGAAUUGAACUGAGAGACCACAGAUUGUACCCUUCCAUGCCUCUUCUAUUGAGGCGGUGGCAUCGAGGAAGGGGUCGUCCUAGAGAUCGCGUUGACGUGUGUCGUUGAAAUUGUGAUGGCGACGUCAGCGCCAUCCCUGAGUAACCACCGCUUGAAGAAUCCUUGCUAGGAAGACUUCUCGCGCGAGAAUCGGUGUAUGAGAUAGCAUGGGGUCAAGAGGGAUGGAGAUGCAGUGCGGGACAGGCCGAGGAUCUGCAUCAGCAAGGGCACAACGAGGCGUGGAGGAGCUGAGGCGAGCGCGAUCAGGACGUACUCAAAGCCCCGUGGCGGGAUCGUGUGGCGAGGUGCGAAGUCGACGCUGAAGGGCGGGUUAUGGACAUCUGGUCGGUGGAAUGCGAUGCAGGUCAUAAACCUGGGAUUUUUUUGAAAAAAACAUUAGAUGAGAUAAUUUGUAGAAAGGGAAAACUUAAAUGGGACAGGUUUGCAUAAUUUCAGUAGAUGGAAUAUAUUGCAUCACAAAAGUAUAAAAGGUAGAAAAUAAAAAACUUGUGUCACAGCUAACUCCAAACCCAAAAACAAACGGCUGUUAUUAGCGUUUCCUCUCCCAAACCCAAACCCAAAGAGAAGCCAACAAAAACAAACAGUUGGGUCAAACGCGUGUGUUGAUUAGAUUAUCUUGGAAACACUAAAAACUCAAAGUUUGAUAGCACGACCUCAGUUGUAUUUCUAGCCAAAAUCACAAACAGAAAAUAAAAUAAAAACGAAAUUGGCAAGCCGGGAAAAAAGCUUCCAAAAACCGUGAAUACAGCUGUGCCCGUCCCCUCGUUCGCUCUCCCAGACGCAAACAAAAAAGAAAAGAAAAGAAAACCGUGAAUACUGCUGAGUCCCAAACGCAUAAGAAAAAAGAAAAGAAAAAGAAAACGAGAAACAGGACCGCUGUGCACGGAUCUUCUCGAGUGAUCCGUCCGCCGCCGACCUUCCUCUCCUCAUCGCCAUGGGCAAUGGCGGCCGCCAGGUGGUGGGCCGCGCCCUGCUCCUCCCCCUCCUGCUGCCUUCUUCCAGGCCCAGGGCGGAGCGGAGCGGAGGAGGAGUCAUCCCGGCCGGCGAACUAUCUUCUGUUCUCCGUUUAGCACCACCUCGGCCGUGAAGCGCGAAUUCGACGCGCAUAUAACCCUGGCCGGGACACAGGUAGCACCGUGCGGCAAGCGCGGUUAGCAGUCAGUCGAUUAUUCGGUAGACGAUAGGGGAUAGCAGCGCACAGGACAGGGGGAACCGUUGUCGCGCGAGAAGGCCCAGAGACGACAGCGCGAGGAGCGGGCGGCGGGCUGCGCGAGGAAACGACGGCGCGAGGAGCGGUCAGUCCAUUCGGUAGUUGUAGUCAGGUUGACGACGGCGCACAGGGAACACGCGUGUUGGGAACGGCACCGCCGGCGGCAAACGAGCGCUAGCGGCGAUAGAAACGCCAGAAGGACACCGACGACUAGUCGGAUAACCAGGACACACGCGGAGCCGAAAGGAACAUAGGCGUUCACUGAGACAGUAGAAGAUUGAUGCGACAGUGCGACGACAUACCGGCGGAGUAGCUACUCGAUCUCGGUAGUUGGUAGGUUGGCACACGACACGUCUGCUUUGCUUUUUUCCUCUUUUGAACAUCUCCCCCGUGCUGAAAUGCCGUCCACAUGCGAGAGACCGGAAAUAGUGUCAAAUUAAAACGUUUUGCGCGAACAGAAAACACACUGUCACUGAGCCAGUCAAACCAGAGCAGGCAACACCGCACUACCACACGGCAAUUAAAUUUACGCAAUCCCUGUCGAUUGUGAGGGUGAAUCCUAUUUUUAUCCUUUAUUUUUACUUUUGUGAUGCAAUUGAUCUCAAUCAUUUAGUGAAAUUUCUACAAACUUAUUCGGUUAAAACAAUCUUGUGAUACACAAUAUCAUAUCUAGUGUUUUUUUCUCUAUUUUUUCAUAAAUUAUGACAGGAAAAGGAAGUGGAAGGAGCCAGGGUGUGCGGCGUAGUGGGACGGUGGGAGCUUGGGUGCAAGGUGGAAGGGCGGCGUGCGACCAGGCUCUGACGAGUCACGGUCUCACGCUGCGGCACAAGAGGAGCUAGGACGGGGCCCACAGCUGGUCAAGACGGGCACGGACCUUGUCGAGGAUAUUGAGUGGCUUGGCAUAUCUGCACAACGGAAGCUAAUACCAUGAUUUGGUACGAAUGGGCGAGGGCGACUUGAUGACCCUGCGCCGCCAUGGACCGGUUGGCCUUCAAUCUGGGAUGAUGAGGAUAGCGUUGUCGAGGCCAUGGCAGCGAGUAAGAAGUCGCUACCGGACACCGUGUUGCCGCACCACUAUUGAAAUCAUGAUAGUGACGCUCCGAAAAGCCGGUAGAGAGCCCCGGAAAAAAGAGAGCCGCCGCUAGCAGAUCUCAUAUCCUCCUGACCGGCCGGCGAUCCGCUUGCCCCUGGAUCUACGCUUGGCGCCAUAGUAGAUCCCUAAAGUUAGGUUUGGUUCAACCAGCAGCGGUGCUAUGGCGGCAAUGGCGGCACUAUGGGUCAAGAAUAAGGUUUUCUCAACUCCUCAUCCACCUCGUCGAUGGCGCUCUCGCCGGUGACGUUGAGGAGUGUAGGGCGUUUGGUCCCUGCUCUUUUGGAGUGGUAGAUCUAGUUUUGUUUCCAUGUUUGCGGGUAGUCUACGUGUCUUGGUUUGUUUGUUUGUUCCUUCUCCAAUCGGCUCAACCAGUUUCGACUUCGUUGCGGUGUUAGUGAGGCUAUGUCUUUCCUGAUCCGUCUGGCCGGAUCUGGAAUUGUCAUCCAACUCUUUUCGUUGUCUUCUUCUCCGGAACGGUGGUCUGUUUCUCAAAUUACCAUCACCAGCAUCUUCUGUCUCCGACCGGUGACUUCCCGGCUGUUACGUCAACAACGUUUUCCUGGUUCCGAUGUGGUUCACAGGUCCAGAGAUAGCAUCGAGUUUCGCGGUGUCAAACCAGAGUAGGAAACACCGCAGUACCGCACGUUAAUUAAACUUGAUACGCAAUCUUUGUCGAGUGUGAGGGUGAAUUCCAUUUUACCCUCUAUUUUUACUUUUGUGAUGCAAUUGAUGUCAAUCAUGUAGUGAAAUUUCUACAAACUUAUUCAGUUAAAACAAUCUUGUGAUACACUAUAUCAUAUCUAGUGUUUUUUUCUCUAUUUUUUCCUGAAUUAUGACAGGACAAGGAAGUGGAAGGAGCCAGGGUGUGCGGCGUAGUGGAACGGUGGGAGCUUGGGUGCAAGGUGGAAGGGCGGCGUGCGACGAGGCUCUGACAAGUCACAGUCUCACGCUGCGGCACAAGAGGAGCUAGGACGGGCCCCACAGCUGGUCAAGACGGGCAGGGACCUUAUCGAGGACAGCGAGUGGCUUGGCAUAUCUGCACAACGGAAGCUAAUACCAUGAUUCGGUAUGAAUGG